GAAGCCUGCGAGAGGGGAGCGACCGUCAGUUAGCAAAUCAGAGAGCAAGCCUGUGAUUGCACUAACGAGCGGAGGGGAGGAUACAGUCAUUAAUAAAGAGGCUGUGGAGGGUUGGAAAUAAGACUCCUGUUGCACAGCAGUUUCACCCAUUCCAGGUUUUACUACGAACUUGAUUAGCCCCAGUGUACAGGUAACAAGCUCAGGCAGGUGUCUCUGCAGCAGCGACGCUGUUCAACUCGGACUGACCUCUUGUCUGUGGUGACCCCAGGAGUGACCCCCACGGACAGGGAGGCGAGCGCAGUGACCGUGUCCGUCUCCUCCUGGUCGUGUUUCUGAGCCUCCAGGACCGAGUAUCCCGCCGUGGGGCCGAAGCGCUGGACAGACUUCCAGUAUUUACCUGCAAGACAGAACAGGACAACGUCAACCCCCGCAGCCCCUCUCCCUGAACCAGACAGCAGUAACUAAAAUCCUUGCAGCUUUUUAUUUUAUUAAAGUGUGGAACCCGGCUCAGUGCCAGCGAGCCUUUUGAAGAUGACUGUCAACACUGCUGCUCCCCCUUCCACACGGAAUUACACUCUCCCCCCCCCCCCCCCC